rnacentral:misc_RNA from 1 species
AAACAAUACCUUACAAAUUUAAAGUAGCAAGGUAAACGGUUGUUAGCAUUCAAGCUUUAUUCCAUUUAACUUACAUAUACGACGGUUGUCAUUAGGACACCCAGUUGACUUAUUGACAACUAAUAAUGGUUGUCAUAA